CUCUGGCUUUGGUUCACCUUGCUCCACCUUUCUAGUCUUCACUGACGAGGCUUUAGCAUUGGUCCACCUUGCAUGAUGUUACCGAUCUUUGCUUCUCGUGACUUGAUCCAACGACUGUUGUUGCUGAUUUCUGAGAGGUGAAUGCCAAGUAGACUGGACUGCUGACAACAAAGAUUGGAAUUGCACCCGUAGAACUAUCUCCAAACAGAUGAGUAGAGCUAUUGCCUCUCGACUUCUACCACUUCUCCGAGAAGCCUCUUUACAACAAACGGGGACGAUCACCGAAAAGGACUAGUAAUAACACAGAGCUCAACAGAUGGGGGAAGGCCAAGCCUCGGUGAACACAUCUGUAUCACAGCUCCCACAUCUAUGGCUCAGGGAGCGUCAUGCAAGAGACAGAAGAAAGACUGUUAGAACCAGAAUACAAAGAAAUCUACUGAGAAACGAUGUGUCAUAGAGAUGCCUCCAUAAAUGAGACUGGAAUAAUGGCAAUACCAUGUUAACACGGGAGGGGGAAUUUUUUUCAGGGUUCCACCUCUAGACAAGGAACUGCAGGCAACCACGGACUGCUGGGAUAAGGAGAAUGAACUCCUCCAAGGACAAGCCUCCUUACUGAUUUUUCAAUGCAGAGUGGUACACACAAACAAUGAAAACAGACUCAGAAGGUUGUAUAUAUAUUGGUGUGUAAAUAUACACAAAUAUAUAUAAUGCAUUCUUACAAUGUGUUCACAUUUGGGAUAGUGAAAAGAUUAUUAUAGAUUGUCCAAGUAGAACCAUUACAAACACCAAGAGACUUAAGAGUCUAGGGAGAAGUCAGGGGAGAUUUGGCAGCAGAAGAGGAAGUACGAAUGGGGCGAUGGUGUAGGAUUAGGAAAACUGAAACUCCUGAUAUGGCAUUGGAAAGGAAGAGGACCCUGAAUGGAGGUUGUGAAAAGUGAGGGAGUGGGUUCUCCAGAGCCUCCAAAGAAGGAAGACGCCCUAUGAAUGUCUUUCACCUAGAGAGAUUGUGUUGACUCUUAAGGUAACAAACUGUAAAAUAAUAAAUGUGUGCUGUU